rnacentral:lncRNA from 1 species
AACAUUGUACUACAUAUACUGGAGGAGACUCGGUUAUUGUAAACACAGGGUCUCAUGGUGGUAUCAUGGAAUUAAUAGAGAAACUUUUGGGCAAUAGACUUGUUCGAAUAGUGUGUGGUGAACUUCAUACCAAUGAAUUACAACUAUAUCACAUAAUAACUGAGCUCGAUGGUCCCAAAAAUGGAGCUAGCACGUUUUCGGGGAAACUUGGGGAAAUUAUUCCUGGUAAGGUUUACGACUUAGAAUUCGAUCAUAAAUUUGGAAAAAUAAGCACUAAUUUUCCACCUGAGUGAAAUGUCAGAAAGUGUAAUUGAGGAUUUGUCUAAUGAUCAAUUUUAGGCUUAUUGCAUUACGAAAAUAGUUAUCUCAAUAAUUAUAGAUGAAGAUAUUCUUAAAAUCAAAGUCGGUAUUGUUUCAGAUUCAAUAUGGCUCAUAUAGGCAAGUUGUUUUGACUUACUCUACAUCUCAAAGCAUGGUUUGGCUGGAGAGAAAACAAAAAAAUUGCGCCUUAUAGUCGAGUUCAUCGAAUUCAGGAUAUCAGAAAUAAGAGACAUGAGAAAUGGAACUGAUUUGGGAGAUAUCAGUGUACGGCUAUACUGUUCACCUAACCUCAAUUGAGAUGCUACUUUAAUUAUUAAUAUCCAGGAUUGGAACAACACAACUGGAACUUUUAUAUCAAUAGUCUUUCCUUCAAGUCAACUGCUUAGUUUUGUCUCUUCACCGCUUCGACUUCCUAAAAUAACAUGUCACACACAAAGUUGUGAACGUGCAGUAAAAUAUUUAACUAAGGCUUCAGCUCAAGUUUAUGGACAAGAGAGACGGAUAUAUAAAAGCAAAAUUAAAAUCGCACUUGAUUUUCCCAAUUAAUGAAACAAAUAAACAAUUAAAA